AAUUGGAGCUUUACUAACCUUUCUAUUAAUCUGCACCACCUGCGAUGUACUAUCACAAAUUACAAGUAUUAACAGUAACUUCGUUAAUACCCUCUGCAAAUUUUCAUUUAUCUACAAUGGUAAACGCAUCUUGAGUACUAAUAUUAAUGAAAAUAGUCUACCAAUCAUCGCAGGCCUGAAAUUUUACUCUAUGAGCUGGAUAAUCCUAGGACACAGAUUCUUACUUUUUGACUCGGGCAGUAUCCUCAAUAUUGAGGAAAAGGAUGUGUGGAUCCAUUCUUGAGGCGCUGCGAUCAUCUUCUCAGUAGUCUAUUGUGUUGACACAUUUCUUGCGAUUACCGGAUUCUUAACUUCAUAUUUGUUUCUCAAAGAAAUGGCUAAAGGACGCAAGUUUAAUCUUUUCGCUUAUUACUUCCAUCGAUACAUGAGAUUAACACCAGCAUUCAUGGCACUGUUAGCAAUAACGAUAUAUAUAGUUCCAAAAACUAGUUCUGGGGCAUUAUGGCAGUCGUCGAUAAAGACCCAAAGUAAAGUGACUGUUGUAAAGAAAAGUGGUGGGCAAAGCUACUUUAUAUCCACAAUUAUGUCUAUUCACAUGGUUUAAGGUGUUUAAUCCAUACCUGGUACCUGGCAGUAGAUAUGCAACUAUUCUGGGUAAGUCCAUUAAUCGUCUACCCAUUAUACAAGAAACGUAAAUUGGGAUUGAUUAUUCUGUGUACCGCCAUUGUUGCAUCAGUCAUCACGCCAGCUGUCAUAGAAGCACUUAACAAGUACAAGUUGUACUUUUUACCAGAUGAA